rnacentral:tRNA from 1 species
GCCUGGGUGGCUCAGCUGGUUAAGCGUCUGACUUCGGCUCAGGUCAUGAUCUCGCGGCUUGUGAGUUCAAGACCCGCAUCAGGCU